rnacentral:tRNA from 1 species
UUGCCCAUAAGGUAGUAUAAAAAAUACUUUUUGCUUACACCAAAACUCUGGCUACAAACCUCUUAUGAU